rnacentral:rRNA from 1 species
GACGAACGCUGGCGGCGUGCUUAACACAUGCAAGUCGAACGGAAAGGCCCUGCUUUUGUGGGGUGCUCGAGUGGCGAACAGGUGAGUAACACGUGAGUAACCUGCCCUUGACUUUGGGAUAACUUCAGGUAACUGGGGCUAAUACCGGCUAGGAGCUCCUGCUGCAUGGUGGGGGUUGGAAAGUUUCGGCGGUUGGGGAUGGACUCGCGGCUUAUCAGCUUGUUGGUGGGGUAGUGGCUUACCAAGGCUUUGACGGGUAGCCGGCCUGAGAGGGUGACCGGCCACAUUGGGACUGAGAUACGGCCCAGACUCCUACGGGAGACAGCAGUGGGGAAUAUGGCAGAAUGGGCGGAAGCCUGAGGCAGCAACGCCGGGUUCGGGAUGACGGCCUUCGUGUUGUAAACCGCUUUCGCCUGUGACGAAGCGUGAGUGACGGUAAUGGGUAAAGAAGCAACGGCUAAAUACGUG